rnacentral:lncRNA from 1 species
AGAAAUCAUAUAAACACACACACACACACACAAAUUAAGCUGCUGUGUCUAUCUAUGUAACUCUGCAGAAUGUUCUCAGACUCAACAACAACAAGUGCUCUCAAAUCCCAACACCGAAUCACUGUUCUACAAACUGCCCAGGGCACAGUAACCAAACUACAUCACACACUCUCCCCGGUAGACAUUACCCGCCCCGCCCCCACCUCCCACUCUCCAUUUCUAAACCUGCCCUCUUCCCUAACUCCUCCAAACUGCAGGGUGAAACGCACAGCAGCAAACGCCCCCGCCGCGGCCAAUCAGAGAUUGCCGCACACCUCUGCCAUGGCCAAUCCACAGCAGCCUUGCAGUUCCACCCCCUUACCUGGGGUGUGGGGAAGUUGCUGCGCCCCGCGCCCAACCUGGGGAGUGUCCAGAGCCUGCUCCUCCCCAUCACACCCCCGCGGUGUCCUUCAGCCCCAAAACAAGCAAUACAAAUGCCAGCCUCCUCCCUCUGACCCACUUGUCUCAACUCUAAGACGCCGCAUGGCGCUCAGGAUUCUUCUGCCAGCCACUGUCACUACCGCACUGGCAAAGAGAGCAAAACUCCUCUCCCCUAAGGGCCAAGAUUAAACGCAGGCGUAUUAUCUGCCAGUUACCUCUUUAUUUAAUUCUUCCCUGUGAGCCUUUUAAUUAGUACAAAGGUGAAGCGGAACUAUGUUCCCUGGAGACAGA